UACGUAGGGAGCAAGCGUUGUCCGGAUUUAUUGGGCGUAAAGCGCGCGUAGGCGGUUCGGUAAGUCGGGUGUGAAAACUCCAAGCUCAACUUGGAGCCUGCAUUCGAAACUGCUGUGACUAGAGUCAGGUAGGGGAACACGGAAUUCCAGGUGUAGCGGUGAAAUGCUUAGAUAUCUGGAGGAACACCAGUGGCGAAGGCGGUGUUCUGGGCCUGUACUGACGCUGAUGCGCGAAAGCGUGGGGAGCGAACAGG
rnacentral:rRNA from 1 species